GCAGUCGAGCGAUGAAGUUUCCUUCGGGAAACGGAUUAGCGGCGGACGGGUGAGUAACACGUGGGUAACCUGCCUCAUAGAGUGGAAUAGCCUUCCGAAAGGAAGAUUAAUACCGCAUAAUGUUGAAAGAUGGCAUCAUCAUUCAACCAAAGGAGCAAUCCGCUAUGAGAUGGACCCGCGGCGCAUUAGCUAGUUGGUGGGGUAACGGCCUACCAAGGCGACGAUGCGUAGCCGACCUGAGAGGGUGAUCGGCCACAUUGGGACUGAGACACGGUCCAGACUCCUACGGGAGGCAGCAGUGGGGAAUAUUGCACAAUGGGGGAAA
rnacentral:rRNA from 1 species